CGACCCCAGGUCAGGCAGGAUUACCCACUGAGUUUAAGCAUAUCAAUAAGCGGAGGAAAAAAAAUUUACCAGGAUUCCCCUAGUAACGGCGAGUGAACUGGGAAAAGCCCAGCUUCAGAAUCGGUCGCCAUCAGUGUCCGAAUUGUACUCUAGAGAAGCAUUCUCAGCGACGGACCGGGCCCAAGUCCCCUGGAAAAGGGCACCGGAGAGGGUGAGAGCCCUAUCGUGCUCGGACCCUGUCGUACCACGAGGCGCUGUCUAUGAGUCGGGUUGUUUGGGAAUGCAACCCGAAUAGGGCGGUAAGUUCCGCCCAAGGCUAAAUAUGGGCGAGAGAUCGAUAGCGAACAAGUACUGCGAGGGAAAGAUGAAAAGGACUUUGAAAAGAGUGUCAAAGAGUGCUUGAAAUUGUCAGGAGGGAAGCGGAUGGGGGCCAGUGAUGCGCCCCGGUUAGAUCUAGAAUGACGAGAGUCGGUCCGCUGAUCAGCUCGGGGCGUGGACCGACGCAGGUCGUGGCGGUGGUCGAAGCCCAGGCCUUUGAUAUGCCCGUGGAGACGUUGUCGGAUCGAUCGUGGGAUUCAGCACACGCCGUCUCGGCGUGGUUCUAAGACCGGCGUGCUCGAAGGCCACUGCGCAGUUCGUGAUUCACCCGUCUUGAAACACAGACCAAAGAGUCUGACAUGUGUGCGAGUCAACGGGCUAGAAAACCCGUAAGGCUCAAGGAAGCUGAUUGAAGGGAUCCCUCACGGGUGCACCGCUGACCGACCUUGAUCUUUUGAGUAGGGUUCAAGUGAGAGUAUGCCUGUCGGGACUCGAAAGAUGGUGAACUAUGCCUGAGCAGGGCAAAGCUAGAGGAAACUCUGGUGGAGGCCCGUAGUGAUACUUACGUGCAAAUCGUUCGUCUGACUUGGGUAGAGGGGCGAAAGACUAAUCGAACCGUCUAGUAGCUGGUUCCAUCCGAAGUUUCCCUCAGGAUAGCUGGAGCCUUUAGCGACUUCUAUUGGGUAAAGCCAAUGAUUAGUGGCAUCGGGAGAGCAACGCCCUCGACCUAUUCUAAAACUUUAAAUAGGUAGGACGGCGCAGCUGCUUCCUUGAGCCGCGCCACAGAAACGAGAGCUCCAAGUGGGCCAUUUUUGGUAAGCAGAACUGGCGAAGCGGGAUGAAUCGAAGUCAGAUUCUGAGGCCCAAUCACAGAUUAAGCUAAAACCCACAAAGGGUGUUGGUCGAUUAAGACAGCAGGACGGUGGUCAUGGAAGUCGAAAUACACUAAGGAGUGUGUAACAACUCACUUGCCGAAUCAACUAGCCCCGAAAAUGGAUGGCGCUUAAGCGCGCAACCUACACCCGGCCAUCGGGGCAAGGGCCAGGCCCCGAUGAGUAGGAAGGCACGUCAAUCACCGUAAAACUGGGGGCAUGAGCCCGGACGGAGCGACCGUCGGUGCAGAUCUUGGUGGUAGUAGCAAAUAUUCAAAUCAGAACUUUGAAGGCCGAAGAGGGGAAAGGUUCCAUGUUAACGGCACUUGCACAUGGGUUAGUCGAUCCUAAGAGACGGGGGAAGCCCGUCCGAUAGUGCGUCCAGCCCGAGCUUCGAAAGGGUAUCGGGUUAAAAUUCCUGAACCUGGACGCCGCGGCUGACGGCAUCGUUAGGGAGUCCAAAGACAUCGGCAGGGGCCUCUAGAAGAGUUAUCUUUUCUGUUUAACGGUCUGCCCACCCUGGAAAUGGCUCAGCCGGAGGACCGAGUGUCGUCUGCGCCCCGGGCGGUGUCCGAAGACGUCGCGUGGUGUCCGGUGUGCCCCCGGUGGCCCUUGAAAAUCUGGAAGACCGAGUGUCGUCUGCGCUCAGUCGUACUCAAAACCGCAUCAGGUCUCCAAGGUGAAUAGCCUCUGGUCAAUGGAACUAUGUAGGCAAGGGAAGUCGGCAAAAUGGAUCCCUAACCUUAAGAAAAGGAUUGGCUCUGAGGGAUGGGCACGGGGUCCCGAUCCGAACCGUUAUCGCCAGCACUACUCGAGCCGCUCUGGCGGUGAGAGAGUGUCGAUGUGUGCGGCCGGGGAUGAUCGAACGGCUCCCUGGGGCCUUCCCGAACAACGAACGAUUGACUCGAGAAUCGGUACGGACAAGAGGAAUCUAACUGCUUAAUUAAAACAAAGAAUUGCGAUGGUCUCUGCGGAUGCUCACGCAAUGUGAUUUACCUUGAUGCUCAAUGUCAAAGUGAAGAAAUUCAACCAAUCGUGGGUAAAUGGUCGAGUAACUAUGACUCUCUUAAGGUAGCCAAAUACCUCGCCAUCUAAUUAGUGACGCGUAUGAAUGGAUUAACGAGAUUCCCAUUGUCCCCGCUUCACUAUCCAAUAAACCACGACCAAGGAGCAGGCUUGGCGUAAUCGAUGGGGAAAGAAGACCUGUUGAGCUUGACUCUAGUCCCACUUUGUGAAAUGACUUGAGAGGUGUAGGAUAAGUGGGAGCUCUCGGGUGAAAUUGAAAUACCACUACUUUUAAUGUUAUUUUACUUAUUCGUGAAUCGGAGGAGGGCACGGCCCGCUUUUUGAUUCCAAGGCGGCUUCUACCGACCGAUCCGUGGAAGACAUUGUCAAGUGGGGAGUUUGGUGAGGCGGCACAUCCGUUAAAAGAUAACGCAGUGUCCUAAGAUGAGCUCAACAAGAAUGUAAAUCUCGUGUGGAACAAAAGGGUAAAAGCUCGUUUGAUUUCGAUUUCGAUCUGAAUACAAACUGUGGAAGCGUGGCCUAUCGAUCCUUUAGACCUUCGGAAUUUGAAGCUAGAGGUGUUAGAAAAGUUACCACAGGGAUAACUAGCUUGUUGCAGCCAAGCGUUCAUAACGACGUUGCUUUUUGAUCUUUCGAGGUGGGCUCUUCCUAUCAUUGUGAAGCAGAAUUCACCAAGUGUUGGCUUGUUCACCCACCAAUAGGGAACGUGAGCUGGGUUUAGACCGUCGUGAGACAGGUUAGUUUUACCCUUCUGAUGGUCGUGUCGCAAUAUUAAUUCGACCUAGUACGAGAGAAACUGUUGAUUCGCACAAUUGGUCAUCGCGCUUGGUUGAAAAGCCGCGGUACGGGCUACCGUCUUACCGGAUUAUGAGCGAACGCCUAAGUCGUAAUCCGGAUAGAAGUGGCGACGUGCCGCCGCCUGAUUGUCGACCCGCGAUGGGGACUCGCCCCAAGGGCACGCCUCGUAGGUAAGUGGUCGCGCGCACAAGUCGUGGGCGCCUCGAGUGUAAUUCCCACGAACGGUGGGUAGAAUCCUUGCGCACGACUUAAAUACUGUGACGGGUAUUGUAAGUGGCGAGUGGCCUUGCCGCCACGAUCCAUCGAGAUUCAGCCCAUUGUCGCUUCGAUUCGU